rnacentral:lncRNA from 1 species
CCAUGAGGAUGACUCUGAUUCUCUUGUUUCAAUUGGAGGAGCCUGCUGAUUGUCAUUAUCCUGACUACCAAUAGGAAGUGCUUUCAGCUGUUUCACGAUGGAAGUUUGGAUUUUAAUCUUUUUCUUUGACAACAUUCUGAAUGUCCCACUAGACAUGCCAAAAGUUAUUUUUCUAUUUUCUAUGGCUGAAGUCUAAGAAGAACAAUAAGUUGGCAAUGC